rnacentral:rRNA from 1 species
AUUGAACGCUGGCGGCAUGCCUUACACAUGCAAGUCGAACGGCAGCACGGGAGUAAUCCUGGUGGCGAGUGGCGAACGGGUGAGUAAAGCAUCGGAACGUGCCCAGUCGUGGGGGAUAACGUAGCGAAAGCUACGCUAAUACCGCAUACGAUCUGUGGAUGAAAGCGGGGGACCGUAAGGCCUCGCGCGAUUGGAGCGGCCGAUGUCAGAUUAGGUAGUUGGUGAGGUAAAGGCUCACCAAGCCGACGAUCUGUAGCUGGUCUGAGAGGACGACCAGCCACACUGGGACUGAGACACGGCCCAGACUCCUACGGGAGGCAGCAGUGGGGAAUUUUGGACAAUGGGCGCAAGCCUGAUCCAGCAAUGCCGCGUGCAGGAUGAAGGCCUUCGGGUUGUAAACUGCUUUUGUACGGGGCGAAAAGGCUUCAACUAAUACUGGGGGCUCAUGACGGUACCGUAAGAAUAAGCACCGGCUAACUACGUG